rnacentral:rRNA from 1 species
CACGUAGGGUGCGAGCGUUGUCCGGAAUUAUUGUGCGUAAAGAGCUCGUAGGCGGUGUGUCGCGUCGGCCGUGAAAACCUGCAGCUUAACUGUGGGCUUGCGGUCGAUACGGGCAUCACUGGAGUUCGGCAGGGGAGACUGGAAUUCCUGGUGUAGCGGUGAAAUGCGCAGAUAUCAGGAGGAACACCGGUGGCGAAGGCGGGUCUCUGGGCCGAUACUGACGCUGAGGAGCGAAAGCGUGGGGAGCGAACAGG